rnacentral:rRNA from 1 species
ACGAACGCUGGCGGCAGGCCUAACACAUGCAAGUCGAACGCUCCGCAAGGAGAGUGGCAGACGGGUGAGUAACACGUGGGAAUCUUCCUAUUGGUUCGGAAUAGCUCAGGGAAACUUGGGGUAAUACCGUAUAAGCCCGAGAGGGGAAAGAUUUAUCGCCGAUAGAUGAGCCCGCGUCUGAUUAGCUAGUUGGUGAGGUAAUGGCUCACCAAGGCGACGAUCAGUAGCUGGUCUGAGAGGAUGACCAGCCACACUGGGACUGAGACACGGCCCAGACUCCUACGGGAGGCAGCAGUGGGGAAUAUUGGACAAUGGGCGCAAGCCUGAUCCAGCCAUGCCGCGUGAGUGACGAAGGUCUUCGGAUUGUAAAGCUCUUUUGCCAGGGACGAUAAUGACGGUACCUGGAGAAUAAGCCCCGGCUAACUUCGU